GACGAACGCUGGCGGCGUGCUUAACACAUGCAAGUCGAGCGGUAAGGCCCUUUCGGGGGUACACGAGCGGCGAACGGGUGAGUAACACGUGGGUGACCUGCCCUUAGCUCUGGGAUAAGCCUGGGAAACUGGGUCUAAUACCGGAUAUGACUCCAUGACGCAUGUUGUGGGGUGGAAAGCCUUGUGCGGCUAGGGAUGGGGCCCGCGGCCUAUCAGCUUGUUGGUGGGGUGAUGGCCACCAAGGCGACGACGGGUAGCCGGCCUGAGAGGGCGACCGGCCACACUGGGACUGAGACACGGCCCAGACUCCUACGGGAGGCAGCAGUGGGGAAUCUUGCGCAAUGGGCGAAAGCCUGACGCAGCGACGCCGCGUGAGGGAUGACGGCC
rnacentral:rRNA from 1 species